CCUACGGGUGGCAGCAGUAGGGAAUAUUGCUCAAUGGGGGCAACCCUGAUGCAGCAACGCCGCGUGGAGGAUGAAGGUUUUCGGAUUGUAAACUCCUUUUGUUAGAGAAGAUAAUGACGGUAUCUAACGAAUAAGCAACGGCGAACUCCGUGCCAGCAGCCGCGGUAAUACGGCGGGUGCAAGCGUUACUCGGAAUCACUGGUCGUAAAGAGCGCGUAGGUGGGAUAGCAAGUCAGAUGUGAAAUCCUAUGGCUUAACCAUAGAACUUCAUUUGAGACUGUUACUCUGGAGUGUGGGAGAGGGAGGUGGAAUUCUUGGUGUAGGGGUAAAAUGCGUAGAGAUCAAGAGGAAUACUCAUGGCGAAGGCGACCUGCUGGAACAUUACUGACGCUGAUGCACGAAAGCGUGGGGAGCAAACAGGAUUAGAUACCCUGGUAGUC
rnacentral:rRNA from 1 species